GAAGGUGGCCUGUGAGGGUUGCUGGAGGUAUCAGAAGUGCGAAUGCUGACAUAAGUAACGAUAAAGCGGGUGAAAAGCCCGCUCGCCGGAAGACCAAGGGUUCCUGUCCAACGUUAAUCGGGGCAGGGUGAGUCGACCCCUAAGGCGAGGCCGAAAGGCGUAGUCGAUGGGAAACGGGUUAAUAUUCCCGUACUUGGUGUUACUGCGAAGGGGGGACGGAGAAGGCUAUGUUGGCCGGGCGACGGUUGUCCCGGUUUAAGCGUGUAGGUGUGUGUUCCAGGUAAAUCCGGUUCACUUUAACACUGAGGCGUGAUGACGAGGCACUACGGUGCUGAAGCAACAAAUGCCCUGCUUCCAGGAAAAGCCUCUAAGCAUCAGGUAACACGAAAUCGUACCCCAAACCGACACAGGUGGUCAGGUAGAGAAUACCAAGGCGCUUGAGAGAACUCGGGUGAAGGAACUAGGCAAAAUGGUGCCGUAACUUCGGGAGAAGGCACGCUGACACGUAGGUGAAGUGAUUUACUCAUGGAGCUGAAGUCAGUCGAAGAUACCAGCUGGCUGCAACUGUUUAUUAAAAACACAGCACUGUGCAAACACGAAAGUGGACGUAUACGGUGUGACGCCUGCCCGGUGCCGGAAGGUUAAUUGAUGGGGUCAGCGCAAGCGAAGCUCCUGAUCGAAGCCCCGGUAAACGGCGGCCGUAACUAUAACGGUCCUAAGGUAGCGAAAUUCCUUGUCGGGUAAGUUCCGACCUGCACGAAUGGCGUAAUGAUGGCCAGGCUGUCUCCACCCGAGACUCAGUGAAAUUGAACUCGCUGUGAAGAUGCAGUGUACCCGCGGCAAGACGGAAAGACCCCGUGAACCUUUACUAUAGCUUGACACUGAACAUUGAGCCUUGAUGUGUAGGAUAGGUGGGAGGCUUUGAAGUGUGGACGCCAGUCUGCAUGGAGCCGACCUUGAAAUACCACCCUUUAAUGUUUGAUGUUCUAACGUGGACCCGUUACCCGGGUUGCGGACAGUGUCUGGUGGGUAGUUUGACUGGGGCGGUCUCCUCCUAAAGAGUAACGGAGGAGCACGAAGGUUGGCUAAUCCUGGUCGGACAUCAGGAGGUUAGUGCAAUGGCAUAAGCCAGCUUGACUGCGAGCGUGACGGCGCGAGCAGGUGCGAAAGCAGGUCAUAGUGAUCCGGUGGUUCUGAAUGGAAGGGCCAUCGCUCAACGGAUAAAAGGUACUCCGGGGAUAACAGGCUGAUACCGCCCAAGAGUUCAUAUCGACGGCGGUGUUUGGCACCUCGAUGUCGGCUCAUCACAUCCUGGGGCUGAAGUAGGUCCCAAGGGUAUGGCUGUUCGCCAUUUAAAGUGGUACGCGAGCUGGGUUUAGAACGUCGUGAGACAGUUCGGUCCCUAUCUGCCGUGGGCGCUGGAGAACUGAGGGGGGCUGCUCCUAGUACGAGAGGACCGGAGUGGACGCAUCACUGGUGUUCGGGUUGUCAUGCCAAUGGCACUGCCCGGUAGCUAAAUGCGGAAGAGAUAAGUGCUGAAAGCAUCUAAGCACGAAACUUGCCCCGAGAUGAGUUCUCCCUGAGACU
rnacentral:rRNA from 1 species